UGACAUAGUAGUAUACCGAUCUGUAACUCCUAUUCUUUUAUGGGGAAAUGGAAGAUAGAGACAAGACAGGAGCCUUGCUUACAAAGUGGUGAGCAACGAAGACUCCCUGCCUCUAACAAGAUUUGAGCAAUGGAAUCCCUGGCAGGACAUCAGAAGGAAGGAACUGUGGUCGUCCUGUUCAUUCUUGCCUUUCUCCUUGCAGGAUUGCCAAUGGCUGGCUAUUGUACCAGAACUAAAUGUCAUAUCUCUCCUCAUGGGAAUCCUCAUUACUACAUGUACUUCUUUUUUUUAAAUGGUAGCUGUUCUUUCUCUCCUUUUGGACAGAGAAUAGAAGCAGUCCCAAGUUAUUUCCCCCACCCCUUGCCAUCCCCUCCCUGGCUUUACUAUUCUGCCAAAACCAUAUAGAUAGUCCUUUCAUUAAACUUUCUACUAAUUAUAAUUUGAGCGUGCCAUCUGUCUCCUGUCAGGACCCUGAGUGAUGUAGAUGAAGUCUUAAUUCUCAAAGAAUUAGAAUACAAUGAAAUAAACCUAACAGAAUAUGACC
rnacentral:lncRNA from 1 species